rnacentral:rRNA from 1 species
AUGCUUGGUGUUCAAGAAGAGAGAAGUCACAUGUCUUUAAGAGGGGAAAGCCAUGUCAAUUUGUGUUUUGAUUUGUUAUCUGAUCUAUUUUGCUCUGAUUUUGUUUCCCUAUUUUCUCCCAUUAUCCAGUAUAAGAUUCAGGGGGGGAGACUGCUAGGGAAGGAAAUCUUGAAUUCAUUGCAUAUCCUUUUAUCUUUGGGGACAUGUCUAUAUCAAACUAGAGUACCUAGUACUCACUCUCUACAUGUCAUCCCAGUCUUGGUACUCUUGUGGCUCUUUUGUUUGCUCUGUCUAGUAGUUGUAUCUGCGUUAUCUAACCUUGUUUACUCAGGUUCAUCUCUUCCUAAGUCAACCCAAGACCACAAGGUAAGUAUAUGCAUCACACUCAUGUGCAUGAUGAUUUCUUGCUAA